UCAAACAUCGCCCUGAGUCUUUCUAAGUCAUUUUAAACUACUGUUUUCAUAAGAAGAAACACAUCUUUAUGUUAUAGCUCAGCAAAUAAACCUGUUGGAAAAAAUCCAUAGUACGCCACUGAAUUGCUAUCAAAAGAGUGUCUGUAUAAUGCAGAAACAGAAACGGAGAUAAUGAAAAAAGUUGAAAUUUAAAUUUUGACCUAUAACUCGAAAACAAAUGAGAUAGAGGAAAGGAGUUGAUGGCAUUAUUAGUUUCUCGAAAAAUGACGACCUUAAUGUAUGCAUUUUCCUAUAGAUAUAGGAAACGAGAUCGUUGGGUUGAGAAAGUUGUAGUUCAGGUAUCACCAAUUUUGCCCACACUGUACAAUUUAUUGGGAUUUCGAAUGUAUCCUGCUGAGGAUUCUUUAAGUUGUGUCCACUAGAAGUAUUCUGGAAAUUUGUGAAUAAUGAACGGCCAGGUUCUUUUGAGUUAUCAAUUUAUUUGUCUUAGAUUUGUCAAUUUAAUGAAUUGUUAUAAUUUCCUAGUGACAAAAGUUACAGAGUCGACAUUAUACUGUUCGUUGUAUUCAUUGUUAGGUAUAUAUAUAUAUAACCCCAAAAAUUUCAUAAGUAAACUAAGAGCAUAGACAAAGAGAUAUGGACUGUGCCUUCCCUUUCUAUCUAUGCAUGAAAUAAGGUCAAAAAAGUGACAGAGAGAAACGCACGUCGGGCAUGCAGUUGCCUUUUUCUAGAAUUUUGAUUGGUCCACACUCAUCUCUAUGUGAACAAAAAGAGAGACAGGUAAAUAUAUCCGACGAUCAUUUCUCUCUUUCUAUAAAAAAGACAAUUUCAUGCUGACAUUGCUCAGUCCAUGUCUCUAUGUCUAUGACUAUGAGUUACCUGGACAUAGAAAUUAUGUGGCGUAUGCUUUUCUGCAGAGAUAACAUAUUUUGAGUUCUGUCAGAGAUAAUUCAGCAGUUCUUCGAGAUGACUGGUUGUGUUUAUUAGUUAUAAGGCUUGUUCGUAGAGUGGUUCAAAACGGUUGUGAACUGUACAGAGCAAGCGCAAUUCCAUUUUAGGGGGACGAAAAUCCAUUUGCGCUUGCUUUGUACAGUUCACAACCGUUUUGAACCACUCUACGAACAAGCCUAUUAUUUACGAACAACGUGGACAAUUAUGAUGUGAAUACUCAUGGUAGUGAUGAGGAAACAGGAAGGCCCAGAAGAUUCGGAGCUAGGAGGAAUUAUUUUGAGGAAUAUGUUGACCUGGAUUUCUUCUGUAGAUUCAGACUGCGGAAAAGACCGAAGAAAAUAUUUCACCUCAGAAUGAAUUUUUAUUGUCUAGGCAGCAGUUGCUACUAGCUCAGCAUUUUUAUGCCAGCGGGUCAUUUCUAAGAAUUGCAGGUGAUUUUGAAGCUGUGAGCAAGGCUACAGGAAGAAGUGUGAAAAGAGUUAGUGAAGCCAUUUCAUCAUCAAGACCUAAAUAUGAGUAGUUAGGCGAAAAUUUCUUGGUAUUGCUCAUUUUCCAAGGUGUAUUGGAGCAAUAGAUAGACUAUACUUAUUGAGAAAGGUUUGAAAGAGGUGAUUUUGGGGAUAGCCUAAUUAUAAGAUACGGUGGGUAUCCUGUGAAGUCUUACCUAAUUACUCCUUUACGGGAAGUCCCAAAUGAAGCGCAGACUUUAUUCAAAAAAUCACUGAUAAGAACAAGAAAUACAAUGGAAAGGAAGGCAUUUGGAAGCGAAGAAUCUCAGCUCAUUCAAUGAGAAUAUUAAAAGUAUAGAUACUAUACAAGCAAUGAUCCACAGUUUUUUACAACUUGUUAUGAAAAUGAAGGACACUUCAUCCUUCAAGAGGAGAAGAAGAAGCAAUGAAUUUAUAUCAAAAUGUUACUGUGCCCCCUCUAGGGAAUCAAGAAUUAUUGUCAAAUAAUAGAACUAGAGUGAAUCUUAUGAAUAGUUAUUAUGCAAAUUUGUUGAAUAAGAGUGAUGAAAUUUGAAUUUUUGAAAUAUAUCGAAGAAUUUCAAUUCAAAUUCAAAUAAUCAAUAAAAAUAAGCUUUUGAAGAAAUGUUGAGGAAAACACGUCAUAGAUAGAUAUAAAUUAUUUAAGGAACUUUAAGUUAUAAAUGCAAAACUUCAUUUUAUUUGAGUUUUUCAAUAAACUAAUAAUUUCUACUGGUCCAGCACAGUUGCACUGUUUUUCCUUAUUUCGUACAAGAAAAACCGAAGAGUAUUUACCGCUUCAGCUUCACUUAGGCCCAGUUUCACAAAAUAUGGUAAACCCAAAGUUAUGUAGUGACCAGUGGUUAAAUCAAAAAUUCUGUUUCACAAAGUGUGGUUUAUCGUUUGACCUAAAGUUAACUUGUGGUUGACUUGACCCCGAAAAUUUUAAGAGUUAACUAAGAGUUACCUGGACAUAUAAUUUUCGUGUCGUAUGCUUUUCUACAUAGAUAACAUAUUUUGAGUUCUGUCAGAGACAAUUCCGCAUUUCUUCGAUAUUACUGGUUAGGAAGCGUUUCACAUGUAUUUGGUGUUUAUUAGUUAUUAUUUACGAACAUCGUGGACGAUUAUGAUGUGAAUAUUCAUAGUAGUGAUGAGGAAACAAACGGUGAAGCCCAGAAGAUUUGGAGCUAGAAGGAAUUAUUUUGAGGAAUAUGUCGUUCGAAUUUCUUCUGUAGAUUCAGAAAUAGAGUGGAAAGGAAGCCAAGGAAGGCAUUUGGAAGCGAAGAAUCUCAGCUCCUUCAAUGAGAAUAUUAAAAGUAUUGAUGCAAGCAAUGAUGUGGACUUACAGUUUUUUUACAUAACAUAACUUGUAAUGAAAAUGAGGGACAACCUUCUUCAAGAGGAGGAAGCAGUGGACAUUUAUCAAAAUGUUGCUGUGCCCCCUAUAGGGUAUAGGGGAUCAAGAAUUAUUGUCAAAUAAUAGAACUAGAAGAACUAGACUGAAUCUUAUGAAUAGUUAUUAUGCAAAUAUGUUGAAUUAAAGUGAUGAAAUUUGAAUUUUUGAAAUAGAUCAAAGCAUUUCAAUUCAAACUCAAAUAAUCAAUACUACAUAAUUAAUCGCAAAUGAGUUUGCGAUCAACUCCAGAUGACUUAUAGAUAUUGAGCAACUGAACAAGUGAAAAUGCUCUUACCUACCCUAACUGGGUGAAGUCGAAACUCAGAUGAAUCUCCACUGGUCUGGUAUCAGAAAGGGGGUUCCUAAGGGAAGGGAAACACGGAACCAACCCUCCUUCUGCACUUAGCUCCGUGGCACGAUAUAUGAAGGACACACAGCACUUCACUUAAAGUUGCUCAAUAUCACUUUGGUUCACUCAAUAUAGAGAUAUGACAAAUGGUGCGAUGAUUUCGGCGAUAUAUAAGAAGAUUAUUAAGGUUUUGAGCGAGAAAGAUUUCGGCGCGUCCGGCGAUGAUACGAAUAAUAAUUGUCGUUAUUGACAGACGAAAAAGUUUUUCUUUCGUCGGCGCCUGACAAACCGGAGUCAGGCAACCCAACUCACGAUCGACCAAAUACAGAGUGAGAAAAAGUACACACUUGAUCUCAUUCGACAUAGAAUUCAGUGCUCUAUAGCUUUUCGCCCAAGUAAUUAGUCGAUAUCCGUAUUUCCUGAGGACAUAUGAUUGAAAAACUACAAAAACAUUUCAGGACAUAUUUCUUGGCCGCCGAAAGUUAUGCUCAAUUCCUUUAAAGGAAAAAACCUCAGAUGAUUUAAUUCGGUCACUGAUGAAGGCAUUUAAGCAAUAGAAAUCUUUUAUAGGCAAAAAAUCCUCAAUUCUCAAUUCAAACGGACUGAAAUGGAUGAGCUCUACGGGCGUGCACGCGCUACACUCGCUACAGAUCCCAUUUCAGGCGGAUCGCACGAACGAGCUCGUAGCCGCUUGAAAACGCCCGCUCGAAGUCGCCUGCAGUGGACAACGCUGUAUUGAAAUACGUUACUUGGGAUCUCUGUAGCGGCUUGCCGCACGUUUACGCUCGUUUCGCGUAAGCGCGUAGCCGCUCGAAUACGCUUCCAGUGGACACAUAUAAGCGGGGGUCCUACGGCCUCUGCCGCAUCCCGCAUUUCGAUCGCCAUCGUUUUCUAUCCCUCCAUUCAUCCUCAUCUAUUGCUCUAUCUCUCAUUGUAUUUUCUAUGCCCUUCAUCCAUGAUAUUGCUGGUCUUCCUUUCUUUCUCUAUUUAUUGGUGCAUAAUUGAGAGCUUUCUUCGGCCAUCUCGUGUUGUCCAUCCUCAUUACGUGUCCAUACCAUAUAAGCUGUCUCGUUUCUAUUCGUUCAGAGGUAAUGUGAUCUCUCUUUGAUCUUCUUAUCUCUGCAUUGGGGAUAUGUUCCAAUCUAGACAACCUAUUUGCUCUUCUGAGAAAGUCAACCUCCACAGUAUGGUCCUCUUGUUCUUUACGGAUAACUGUCAGCACUCUGAUCCAUAAGUCAUUAUGGGCUCUACAAUCGCUCUGUGAAUUGUCAUCUUUGUAUUCAAGACAAUUAAAGAUGAAUUUACAAGGGAAAGGAAGAAUACGAAACUACCUGAAAAUCAGACGACAUGAAUCACGUGACCGAAGUUUGAAUAUAAGCCUUAUGACGCGUUUCUAAGAAAUGAAAACUCGAAAUUGUUGCAAUGUUUCCUGAUUGUAGGAAACUACAAGGAAAUUGUUCGAAAAUUGUGUUCAUUCAGAAAAUGAAAUUCAAUUUGGAAAC